CUCUGUUUCAUUCUCGCUCAGCCGAACAAACGAACGCAACGAGAGGCGGCUAGGGAUCCCGAUGGUCAGCCGCCGCCCGCCUGUAGCCACGAUUAUGGGCUUCCUCAAGCCACAAAUCGUGUCCGCCCUCAAACACUCGCCAAGCCGGCACACGCCCCCACGCCCUGAUCCGCACAGACCACGGCGCUACCACCUAACGCAGCGCGGCAGCGCGCGGCUCUACUGCCUCUUCCCGACGGUGGUGCGGCCUCGCGGUGUGGUCCUCGGCCUCGGGCCGACUCCCCGCGGCACGAUGGCAGUACCUCUUGGCCAGAACAUGGAGGAACUCUGAGAAGAAUGCUUGACCCGGCGUCCAGCGUCCAGAUCCGUGAUCCACCGUGGAGGUUGGUCCACCCCGAGUUCCUCGCCUCUGCAGUAUAUGUCCUCCCCGAGCUCCAAGGCGCCGCCUCCCGCAUCCUCCUGAGACCCAGUGCCUCCUCCAACCCACUGUCGCUACCAGUACCAGGUACUCCCUACAAGCCUUCUCCCGGUUUCCUCCUUCCGCGCACAGCCGUGGGGCUGCACACGGUCCCGAACGCUUGGCCCCGCCCCGACCUAGGUCUCCCCUUGGCUGGGUUGCGCACAUCGGGUGUGCGGCAGCAGCGAGGGGUGCGUGUGUGCCAACUCCGUUGUCGAGGCGGCGGAUGCCUCGGGGCAGAGGAUGGGUGCGGUGACGGGUUCGCGCGUUGAACCUCGUGCGAGAACCAGCGGACAUAGCGCGGCGUCAGAAUACGGUUGCGCGUUGUGCACCAACGGAAGAAAGGGUGGGCGCUGCACGCCGCCGAGGCCAUUCACGACGGGCAGUUCGUCUGCGAGUAUGCCGCCACAAUGAAUCCCUCCUUAGUUCUGAUUAAUGUUUUUCCAAAGUUGUCGAUGAAUGAAUUCUUGGUGGUAGGUGAUUUAUGAACUUAUACUGCAGUACGCAAAGUCAUGCUAUAUGUUUUCAUUUUUCAUUUUUUGUCAAACGAUGAUGCUUGCUUGGAUGCAGAUAAAGUUCACCUUCAGAUGUGCCUCACAACUGAUCCCCGGGGCCAGUAGUCUCAACAUGUUGCAUUAGUUGUGACUCUUGUAUUUGUUUCGGUUUACACUCAAUUGCGUCAAAGCUUCAAAGAAAAUCAACUGACUUGAUAAGAUUUUCCGGUCUCAGGAAACUCUGGGUUAAUCACAAGUGUGCUUUUGCUGACUGUAGAAACAAACACACCUGGUAGACAAAUAUAGCAACAAGUUAUUUUUUUUUCUUUUGAUAUCUAGCAACAAAUUGUUUCUAGCAACAAGUUGUUAGCACAAAUAAGAUCUCAUGGUUAAUCCAGAAAAAGUUUGAUUGGAUCCUACCCUGAAAGUCAGAUGCUUUCAGGUUCUUCACCGCAAUAAUAGGUGCAGCAUCAACCAUGUCCAGGGGCUCUUCAACAACAGUGUUGGCAAAAUCAUUCCAGCACGACUUGUUCCCGCAAUUAAAUCAGUUGUAAAUCAGAAUAUGUACCACAUUCUAAGCUAUCAAGACUUCAUACAAAUCAACAUUUUAGGCCAUCAACAAAUUAAUUUGCUGCUUACGAGUCAUCUGCCAACAACAAGGUAUGCUUUGGAGUUUGGAAUUGACACAUUGUCAAUCUUUCUUCUGAUACUCAAGAGAAGAUGAUACACUCUGAAUAGCACAAAUGAUAUAUACUGAUAAAAGGUGGAACACAGAGCAAAAUUAGUCAGAAUGCAUGCACUAAAGAAAAGGCGUCAGCUAACUUCAACACAAAAGGGAGUUCAGAAUAAUAUCAAAUUGUGUCCUUUUGAAUGGACUAGAAUCUUUAUUCAAAUUUUGCAACUGGUCCAGUACAACAUUCAAAACCGGUGAGUUAGCCCUGGAAAAUGUUUCUAUUCUUUCAGGAAGAAGCUAAAUCUAUAGGGUAGCUCUGGAACAAAAGAUUCAUAAAUUUCUUGGUUGUUGCGAAGCUGGUGAAAGAUUGCUUGGUUGGUGCUAACUACAUGCCCAAUGACACAUUAUGGAAGCAUCUAUUCCAUUGUGAGUUGAUCUCUGGGUGUUGUAUCUACAUCUUCAUAAAGGAAGCUAUCAUGUAUUUUCUGUUUUAGUUCCACCAGAGUCAUGGUUGAGAAUAUUUUUUAGGCAAUUAUAAUUUUUCAUGAGUAGAAUUGGAGUUUGUACAUAUUCAUGUCCUCUGAAUGUAGAACAUGUGCAUAACAAAUUGUAAACUUGAUUGCAGCAAAUAA